rnacentral:rRNA from 1 species
UACGAGGGGUGCAAGCGUUGCUCGGAAUUAUUGGGCGUAAAGGGUAGGUAGGUGGUCUCGUUUGUCUGGGGUGAAAGCCUUGAGCUUAACUCAAGAAGUGCCCUAGAAACGGCGAGACUAGAGUCUUGGAGAGGGUCGUGGAAUUCCCGGUGUAGCGGUGAAAUGCGUAGAGAUCGGGAGGAACACCAGAGGCGAAGGCGGCGACCUGGGACAAGUACUGACACUCAACUAACGAAAAGCGUGGGGGAGCAAACAGGG